rnacentral:misc_RNA from 1 species
UCGUACUACGGAGGCGUGAGGGCUGUCGCUGUCCUUUCUAAAAGGUCGUGCACGCCCGAGCGUUCUCAUCUACAAUCCACCUCACCUCUUGUGCACCACACCGCGUGAGCCCUUGAAAAGGCUUGCGUUUUUCACACAAACACACUUAUAGUUUAGAAUGUCAUUCAUUUGCGAUCACACGCAAUCAAUA